GAUGAACGCUAGCGGCAGGCUUAACACAUGCAAGUCGAGGGGCAGCGCGGGAGUAGCAAUACUUCUGGCGGCGACCGGCGCAAGGGUGCGUAACGCGUGAGCAACAUACCCGUCACAGGGGGAUAAGCGAUGGAAACGUCGUCUAAUACCGCAUAAUACCAUUGGCGACAUCGUCGGUGGUUGAAACUUACGAGGGUGACGGAUUGGCUCGCGAGACAUUAGCUAGUUGGCGGGGUAACGGCCCACCAAGGCGACGAUGUCUAGGGGUUCUGAUAGGAUUCACCCCCACACUGGAACUGAGACACGGUCCAUACUCCUACGGGAGGCAGCAGUAGGGAAUAUUGGGCAAUGGAGGCAACUUUGACCCAGCCAUGCCGCGUGAAGGAAGACGGCCCUAUGGGUUGUAAACUUCUUUUGCCGCAGAGUAACCGCGGGGACGUGUACCUGCCUGAGAGUAUGCGGCGAAUAAGUAUCGGCUAACUCCGUGCCAGCAGCCGCGGUAAUACGGAGGAUACGAGCGUUAUCCGGAUUUAUUGGGUUUAAAGGGUGCGCAGGCGGACCGUUAAGUCAGGGGUGAAAAGUUGGGGCUCAACUCCAAUCGUGCCUUUGAUACUGGCGGACUAGAGUGCAGGGGACGUGACUGGAAUGUGAUGUGUAGCGGUGAGAUGCUUAGAUAUGUCACAGAACGCCGAUCGUGAAGACAGGUCACGAAUUUGCAACUGACGCUCAUGCACGAGAGCGUGGGGAUCAAACAU
rnacentral:rRNA from 1 species